GAGGGUACAGCCCAAUGGUAGAGUGUGUGCCUAGCAUGCACAAGGUCCCAGGUUCAAUCCCCAGUACCUCCU
rnacentral:tRNA from 1 species